rnacentral:misc_RNA from 1 species
UGUGGGAGCUGGCUUGCCUGCGAUGCAAACGCCGCGGUCCGGCAGGUAAACCGCGGCGAUGCCAUCGCAGGCAAGCCAGCUCCCACA